rnacentral:ncRNA from 1 species
CGCUCCGGAGAAGCUCAUAAAAUGAGUGCCGAAGGUGUACGGAAAUGAUAUCCAAUCUCUCAGGCAAAAGGACGGAGGA